rnacentral:lncRNA from 1 species
CAUGGAGAGUUACGCUGAUCAGAGCUUAUAGUUUGUACACAGCUACUUUUGCAUAGGUACUAUUUAUGUACUAUUUAUGUACCACAAAUUUGUAGUACUGGAAAUCUGCUUUUAAUAUUCAGUACUAUUGUGUUAAUUACGAAUUAUUGUAAUAUUUAAGUACCUGUAUUUUACAGUACUUGAUUUGUACUUGAAAUUUAAGUACUACAUAUUUUUGGUUGCACGGUUACAUUUUCAGCAUUUUGAACGUUUGUCUUUUUCAAAUCUCACUAGAACACACCCGCGAAAUCGCGGGCAUUCAGACCGUAGUUUAAAGUAUGUAAAGUGUUGUUGGAAGAAUUUUGUAAAAUAUUGAAUGACUGGAGAAUUUCAGCAAAUGUAUCAUAAGUCAUAGGUUAUUGGGGACAGGAAAAUGUUUUUUUUUAUCCCUCCUUCUUCAUUUCCAAAAUUCCCAAUUUUUGGUUUUCUAUCAAUUUCAAUAUGAACAUACAUUUAGUAUGUUAUGACAUUUAGUAAGGAACCUGUAAUUCAGUGGUUGUCGUUUGUUUAUGUGUUACAUAUUUUUUUUUUCGUUCAUUUUUUGUACAUAAAUAUGGCCGCUAGUUUUCUCGUUUGAAUUGUUUUACAUCGUCAUUUCGGGGCCUUUAAAAGCUGAGUAUUCGGUAUGGGCUUUGCUCGUUGUUGAAGGCCGUUCGAUGACCUAUAGUUAUUAAUUUCUGUGUGUUUUGGUCUCUUGUGAGGUUGGUUCAACAUGGCAAUCAUACCACAUCUUUUUUUGUUGUUGUAAUAAAUGAAUUUUUGUAAAAGAUUUAAUGACUGGAGAUUUCAAAAAGUAUCAAAAGUUCAAUGAAUAAUUUUAGCGCCCUGUUAUAUUAUAACUUCAUGCAUAUAAAUAAAGUGUAUACUUUCAAUUCCAGUUUACUAAUCGAUCCAUGUAUAGUAACAACCCUCUCCAUUAAUAAUCUGUGACCGCCGUGGAUAGUAACUUGAAAUGAUAGCAGAUAGAUUAAAAUACACUUUAUUCGUAGUAUAUGUAUGUUCAAAGUUACAGAAAAAAACCGGAAUUCUAAUCUGACUUAAAAUUUCGUCCAUGACGGACAAUAUCCGGAUGCCUUUUUCUCGUUUUUCUCCAAAAUAACUCAAUCUGAAUAAUCAUAUAAAUGGAUGACAAAUGCGACUAUGCACUGUACCUAUAGAAACAGAGGCGUUUUGAUUAAUUUAUUGUGGAAAGAUGAGAAGCGACACCCAAAAUGAGGUCUUCUCGUUUAAUAGUAUAGAUGACGUUAUGAUGUUCAAAUAUGGAAUACUGUGAUCAUUGUUGGUAUCAUUUUUGUACCAAUAUUUUGAGUACAAAUCAAGUACUGGAAAAUACAAGUACCUAAAUAUUACAAUAAUUUUGAAGUAAAGAAAUAGUACUAAUUAUUACAAGUAAAUUUUCAGUACUACAAAUUUUAAGUACAGAAAUAGUACCUAUGCAAAAGUAGCUGUGUACGAAAUCACCGAACUGUCAAUAAACUGCCAUUUGGCCUGAAUCGAUAUUGAUAGACACGGACAGUUUAUAGAAGAGCGGGGUUGAGCCGGGACUCUUAGAAAAAAAAGGGACAGGAAUAAAUAGUGAUUAAUCCAGAAUGUGUCCACAGUACACGGAAGCCCCACUCGCACUAUCAUUUUCUAUGUUCAAUGGACCGUGAAAUUUGGGUAAAAACUCUUAAUUUGGUAUUAAAAUUGGAAAGAUCAUAUCAAAGGGAACAUUUGUACUAAGUUUCAAGUUGAUUUGACUUAAAUUUCACCAAAAACUACCUUGACCAAAAACUUUGACCUGAAGC